rnacentral:rRNA from 1 species
AUUGAACGCUGGCGGCAUGCCUUACACAUGCAAGUCGAACGGCAGCACGGGAGCAAUCCUGGUGGCGAGUGGCGAACGGGUGAGUAAUAUAUCGGAACGUGCCCAGUCGUGGGGAUAACGUAGCGAAAGCUACGCUAAUACCGCAUACGAUCUAUGGAUGAAAGCGGGGGAUCGCAAGACCUCGCGCGAUUGGAGCGGCCGAUAUCAGAUUAGGUAGUUGGUGAGGUAAAGGCUCACCAAGCCGACGAUCUGUAGCUGGUCUGAGAGGACGACCAGCCACACUGGGACUGAGACACGGCCCAGACUCCUACGGGAGGCAGCAGUGGGGAAUUUUUGGGACAAUGGGCGCAAGCCUGAUCCAGCAAUGCCGCGUGCAGGAUGAAGGCCUUCGGGUGUUAAACGUAGCUUUUGUUACGGAACGAAAACCGGUAGGAAGCGUCUAAUACAAGUUUGCUAAUAGACGGUACCGUAAGGAAUAAG